AGAAUUGUCUAUACAGGUCCACGAUAUCGCAUAUCCCCCAUAUAAGGGUACCCCCGAUAUUCGGUAUUUUUAUGAUUUUACUCACAUUUUUCAUCGGAAUUGUCUCAAAAUCCAUACAAGGAGUUCCUUAUGGAUACUUUAUACCUCGGCAGAGACUUAUCUAUAUAGGUCCACGAUAUCGUAUAGCCCUCAUAUAACGGUACCCCCGAUAUUCGUUAUUUUGAUGUUUUUAGCCAUAUUUUUCAACGGAACGGUCACAAGGGGUUCUUUGUACACAAGGGGUUCUUUGUGAGCACUUUUGCCCCCCGACAGAGAAUUUUCUAUAUAGGUUAAGGAUAACGUAUAGCUCCCAUAUAACGGUACCCCGCGAUAUUCGGUAUUUUGAUGAUUUUAGCCACAUUUUCCUAUCGUAUUGCCUGUAAAAUCCACACACGGAGUUCUUUGUGAUCACUUUACCCCUGAAACGGAAUUGUCUAUAUAGGUCCACAAUAUCAUAUAUUCCCCAUAAAACGGUACUCCCCUAUAUGCGGUAUUUUGAUGAUUUUAGCCACUUUUCCGAGUGGAAUUAUCUGAAAAUCCACACAAGGAGUUCCUUGUGAGUACUUUACACGCAGACAUAGAUUUGUCUUUAUAGGUCCCCAAUAUCGUAUAUCCCCCCAUAUAUCGGCACAUUCCUAUAUUAGAUAUUUUAAAGAUUUUAAAAGAAUUUUUAAUGGAUUAUAUUUUUUUGAAAUUUUUCUAAUUCGCUUCAAAUGGUGGAGAGUAUUCAAAGUUCGGCCCGGCCGAACUUACUACUUUUUAAUUGUUUAGUGUUAAAAACUACUUUUGGCCGUCUUCUUGUUUAGGUCAUUUGCAACACUAUGUUGCCAAUUUUCGUAUUUUCCCCUUUUUAUAGUCGCUUCAUUUUGCCACCAUUUUUUCCUAAAUUUUCCAAUAUUUAUCAUGGACAUUCUUGAUGACGAUAGGGUAGCUACGAAAUGGCUACUCCGCCAUGGUUGUAUAAAACCGUAGCCAAAUAAUGACUGAACGAUCCCUAUUUUUUUUAUUAUGGCAACGCCAUCCAUUUCCUUCUGGUCAUUUUCAAUUUUGUUUCGCAUGAUGCGCAACAGCAUCCAACUUUUAAAUUUUGUUUUUCUGAAUCGGGUCUCUGAGCUAUUUCUCUUUUCAAAGAAAUAGGUGCUGGGGUAAGCCAUGCAGCAUACACGCCCCCUGAUGACCCACCCGACGCAACAAAACUUCGACCCUUUGCUGAGUUAAUUUUGCAAAGGUCGAUGUGCGGAAGGUUAUAUUAUUCCACGUGGGGAACUCCCACAGCCCUGAAGUCUCAUGGCCGGGCAUUUCUGGAAAUUCCAUGACGUGUUUGCUGACAUAAUUGAAAAAUUCCAGAUUACACCUGAAUUAUUUGGAGAAUUUUUGGGUUGAAGCACUGCUACAAUAUUUAAGGAGACUUUGUUACUCGGGCCGAUUGGGACAUGAGUAAAGUUCCAUAGUAUUUAUUUAUUGAGUAUCAUUUGGCAGAAUUUGCAGUGUGCAGAAAUUGUAAUGGAAAUUGUAAAUGGAAUUUCUAAAAAACUUUUGUGGUUAUUGUUUGGCCGUGGGUAAACUGUGGCGAUACCCAUUUAAUUUUUGGAUAAAAUCCCCAUUUGGGCUACACCAACGAGUCAGUAACCAAAUCAUUCAAUGAUUUUAUUCAACCCUCCAACUACUACGUAAUAAUUUGGGUUUAUGAAAGUGUGCCCAACAAUACUUCUGAGUCGGCGGUCAUGUUAUUGUUAUUGUCCGGUCAUUGAAAAAUUGAUUAUACUGCGUUUACUUAAUUUUGACAAAAUUCCUGCCUAACAUUAACUUGUUUUGCUCCAAAUCUUUCUAUGGAUAAAAGCACGGUAUUCGUAAUAUAGAAAACUAACUAUAGCAUGCAAUAAAGCGUCUGUCCCUGGUGUAAGUAGAAAACCACGUCCCAGAACAAAACAUGAGGUGGCUACUUAGAAGUUAAUUUGCUGCGGAAGUGUAGAUUUUGCGAUUAUUUUACUCCCAUCGAAAUUGUAUCCAUGUGAAGGAGUUGCUUUACCAUGAUAUGUACAGUUGCAAUUCCCUGGAUAUUCUUCCGUGCUCCAAAACAUGGAUAAAGAAAAAGGGUGUCUAUUACCUAGUCAUUAAUUAAGUGGCAAAAUCUUAAUUCUUAUACCACAGGAGAGGACAACCUUCGAUCAAAAAAUCUUCUUCUUGUGGCGAGCCAAUUAGUUUUGACCAAAUUCCACCUCCUCGGAUACGGACACCAACCAAAAUUAGGACACCAAAAAUAAGUAUGACACCAAACAGAAUUAGGACACACACAGGGAAAGUUUCAAAUUCAAAUAAACCCAAGGACCGGGUAUAUCGUGAUUUUGGGGAACCUUUAUAUAUAAAAAAAUACAAAAAUAAAAAUGUUGUUUGUUCCCACUUUUUGUAAACAACUAAA